rnacentral:rRNA from 2 species
GGGGGAUAUUGCACAAUGGGGGAAACCCUGAUGCAGCGACGCCGCGUGGAGGAAGAAGGUUUUCGGAUUGUAAACUCCUGUCGUUAGGGACGAUAAUGACGGUACCUAACAAGAAAGCACCGGCUAACUACGUGCCAGCAGCCGCGGUAAAACGUAGGGUGCAAGCGUUGUCCGGAAUUACUGGGUGUAAAGGGAGCGCAGGCGGGAAGACAAGUUGGAAGUGAAAACCAUGGGCUCAACCCAUGAAUUGCUUUCAAAACUGUUUUUCUUGAGUAGUGCAGAGGUAGAUGGAAUUCCCGGUGUAGCGGUGGAAUGCGUAGAUAUCGGGAGGAACACCAGUGGCGAAGGCGGUCUACUGGGCACCAACUGACGCUGAGGCUCGAAAGCAUGGGUAGCAAACAGGAUUAGAUACCCUGGUAGUCCAUGCCGUAAACGAUGAUUACUAGGUGUUGGGGGAUUGACCCCCUCAGUGCCGCAGUUAACACAAUAAGUAAUCCACCUGGGGAGUACGACCGCAAGGUUGAAACUCAAAGGAAUUGACGGGGGCCCGCACAAGCAGUGGAGUAUGUGGUUUAAUUCGAAGCAACGCGAAGAACCUUACCAGGUCUUGACAUCCGAUGCAUAGCACAGAGAUGUGUGAAAUCCUUCGGGACAUCGAGACAGGUGGUGCAUGGUUGUCGUCAGCUCGUGUCGUGAGAUGUUGGGUUAAGUCCCGCAACGAGCGCAACCCUUAUUGCCAGUUACUACGUUAAGAGGACUCUGGCGAGACUGCCGUUGACAAAACGGAGGAAGGUGGGGAUGACGUCAAAUCAUCAUGCCCUUUAUGACCUGGGCUACACACGUACUACAAUGGCGUUAAACAAAGAGAAGCAAGACCGCGAGGUGGAGCAAAACUCAAAAACAACGUCUCAGUUCAGAUUGCAGGCUGCAACUCGCCUGCAUGAAGUCGGAAUUGCUAGUAAUCGCGGAUCAGCAUGCCGCGGUGAAUACGUUCCCG